GUGCUCGCUUCGGCAGCACAUAUACUAAAAUUGGAACGAUACAGAUACUAUCAGCAUGGCCCCUGAACAAGGAUGACACAUAAAUUCCAUAUAUUUUU
rnacentral:snRNA from 1 species